GACGAACGCUGGCGGCGUGCCUAACACAUGCAAGUCGAGCGAAUGAAGUUCCUUCGGGAAUGGAUUUAGCGGCGGACGGGUGAGUAACACGUGGGCAACCUGCCUCAUAGAGGGGAAUAGCCUUCCGAAAGGGAGAUUAAUACCGCAUAAGAUUGUAGUAUCGCAUGAUACAGCAAUUAAAGGAGCAAUCCGCUAUGAGAUGGGCCCGCGGCGCAUUAGCUAGUUGGUGAGGUAACGGCUCACCAAGGCGACGAUGCGUAGCCGACCUGAGAGGGUGAUCGGCCACGUUGGGACUGAGACACGGCCCAGACUCCUACGGGAGGCAGCAGUGGGGAAUAUUGCACAAUGGGGGAAACCCUGAUGCAGCAACGCCGCGUGAGUGAUGACGGCCUUCGGGUUGUAAAGCUCUGUCUUCAGGGACGAUAAUGACGGUACCUGAGGAGGAAGCCACGGCUAACUACGUG
rnacentral:rRNA from 1 species